UACGGAGGGUGCAAGCAUUGAUCGGAAUUACUGGGCGUAAAGGGCGCGUAGGCGGUUAGAAAAGUCAGAUGUGAAAUUCCGGGGCUCAACCCCGGAGCUGCAUUUGAAACUUUCGAACUAGAGUAUAGUUAGGGAAAACGGAAUUCCACGUGUAGCGGUGAAAUGCGUAGAUAUGUGGAAGAACACCGGUGGUGAAGACGGUUUUCUGGGCUAUUACUGACGCUGAGGCGCGAAAGCAAGGGGAG
rnacentral:rRNA from 1 species